AGAGUUUGAUCCUGGCUCAGGAUGAACACUAGCUACAGGCUUAACACAUGCAAGUCGAGGGGCAGCAUGGUCUUAGCUUGCUAAGGCCGAUGGCGACCGGCGCACGGGUGAGUAACACGUAUCCAACCUGCCGUCUACUCUUGGACAGCCUUCUGAAAGGAAGAUUAAUACAAGAUGGCAUCAUGAGUCCGCAUGUUCACAUGAUUAAAGGUAUUCCGGUAGACGAUGGGGAUGCGUUCCAUUAGAUAGUAGGCGGGGUAACGGCCCACCUAGUCUUCGAUGGAUAGGGGUUCUGAGAGGAAGGUCCCCCACAUUGGUACUGAGACACGGACCAAACUCCUACGGGAGGCAGCAGUGAGGAAUAUUGGUCAAUGGCCGAGAGGCUGAACCAGCCAAGUCGCGUGAGGGAUGAAGGUUCUAUGGAUCGUAAACCUCUUUUAUAAGGGAAUAAAGUGCGGGACGUGUCCCGUUUUGUAUGUACCUUAUGAAUAAGGAUCGGCUAACUCCGUGCCAGCAGCCGCGGUAAUACGGAGGAUCCGAGCGUUAUCCGGAUUUAUUGGGUUUAAAGGGUGCGUAGGCGGACUGUCAAGUCAGCGGUAAAAUACGGGGGCUCAACCUCCGCCCGCCGUUGAAACUGACGGUCUUGAGUGGGCGAGAAGUAUGCGGAAUGCGUGGUGUAGCGGUGAAAUGCAUAGAUAUCACGCAGAACUCCGAUUGCGAAGGCAGCAUACCGGCGCCCAACUGACGCUGAAGCACGAAAGCGUGGGUAUCGAACAGGAUUAGAUACCCUGGUAGUCCACGCAGUAAACGAUGAAUACUAGCUGUCCGGGGCGAAUGAGCCCUGGGUGGCACAGCGAAAGCGUUAAGUAUUCCACCUGGGGAGUACGCCGGCAACGGUGAAACUCAAAGGAAUUGACGGGGGCCCGCACAAGCGGAGGAACAUGUGGUUUAAUUCGAUGAUACGCGAGGAACCUUACCCGGGCUCAAACGACACAGGAACGUACCUGAAAGGGUUCGGCUCUACGGAGCCUGUGUCGAGGUGCUGCAUGGUUGUCGUCAGCUCGUGCCGUGAGGUGUCGGCUUAAGUGCCAUAACGAGCGCAACCCCCAUCGACAGUUGCUAACAGGUCAGGCUGAGGACUCUGUCGAGACUGCCGGCGCAAGCUGCGAGGAAGGCGGGGAUGACGUCAAAUCAGCACGGCCCUUACGUCCGGGGCGACACACGUGUUACAAUGGCAGGUACAGCGGGAAGCCACCUGGCGACAGGGAGCGGAACCCGAAAGCCUGUCUCAGUUCGGAUUGGAGUCUGCAACCCGACUCCAUGAAGCUGGAUUCGCUAGUAAUCGCGCAUCAGCCACGGCGCGGUGAAUACGUUCCCGGGCCUUGCACACACCGCCCGUCA
rnacentral:rRNA from 1 species